AGCGCAGGCUUGGGAAGUGAAUUCCUCGGUCACUGCCAUGGGUUCCAUGUUGACUGACAAAACUAGAGGUCGGCUGCCCACGAGGAAUAGGAUGGCUAUUUUCUCUCUACAGGCUCUGGAAUAAGGUUUUUUUUGGCUGAAAUCUUCAUCUGGGUGCUUUUCAGGGAGAAGUAGCAGAAUGUGGCAAUGAGGACUCAAACCAGUGAGCUCAUGGGAAUGAAGAUGAGAAGAAAAAUGAAAGGGGGCACUGUGAUUGCGUGAACACAGGAAAUAAAGGCAAAGACAAAUAAGAUUUGAUGUAAUUUAUCCGUUAUGCAAUAGUCUAGAUUGCAGUCAGAAAAUUUACUUUUAGCUUAAGGAAAAGUUUGAAGAAAUUUCAAAAUAUAUGCUAUUUCUAAGUCAAAUAUGCAAAACACAAUUUUUAA